AGUGAACGCUGGCGGUAGGCCUAACACAUGCAAGUCGAACGGCAGCACAGUAAGAGCUUGCUCUUACGGGUGGCGAGUGGCGGACGGGUGAGGAAUACAUCGGAAUCUACUUUUUCGUGGGGGAUAACGUAGGGAAACUUACGCUAAUACCGCAUACGACCUACGGGUGAAAGCAGGGGAUCUUCGGACCUUGCGCGAUUGAAUGAGCCGAUGUCGGAUUAGCUAGUUGGCGGGGUAAAGGCCCACCAAGGCGACGAUCCGUAGCCGGUCUGAGAGGAUGGUCGGCCACACUGGAACUGAGACACGGUCCAGACUCCUACGGGAGGCAGCAGUGGGGAAUAUUGGACAAUGGGCGCAAGCCUGAUCCAGCCAUACCGAGUGGGUGAAGAAGGCCUUCGGGUUGUAAAGCCCUUUUGUUGGGAAAGAAAAGCAGCAGGUUAAUACCCCGCUGUUCUGACGGUACCCAAAGAAUAAGCACCGGCUAACUUCGUG
rnacentral:rRNA from 1 species